UUGACUCAGAGUUGAGAAAGGAAAAAAGGGCUUCUUUCAUACCGCUUGAUGAUCAAUUACUAUGAACUUCGGGUUUUCCCUUCAAAAUUUCUGCCUCCUUACCCCUUAGCGAAGAAAAAGUGAUGAAAAGCAUGCCAAAGAUGAAGCAAACAGUAAAACUAAGAAGAAGCCUCGAGAGACUAGCUAUCAAUAUUAUUUCUGCGAGGAAGAGUCCUCUCCUUAAUUUUAUUUAUUUUUUGUUCAAUUGGUACAGUUUUGUGGUUGCCGACCUUGAAUACUUCUUGGAAGAAGAUUUUGAUGAAGACAAGUCUCCUGACCGUCUUCUCAGCAUCUGCCUCAUACCAUCAGCAACUCUAACUGCUGGAUUCGAAUUGAAUUUACCACAAAAUGACAUGUGAGCUCUCACAGCUUCUUCCAUUCCAGAUUGCGUUUUACCCCUGCUAACUUCAUCUCUAACAGCUUCUGAGCACAAUCCACAUAGCCACUUGCCAUCAAAUUUGGCCUUCACUUCACUAAUAUAUUCUUGGGUGCAAUCCUCUUUCAGUUCACAACACUCACACUGGACCGAUUCAAUCUCCAUAUCCCUUUCUUUUUCCCUGCUUGAAGAGGUUUAUGAAGGAGAAACAGAACUCGUUUCAGGUAAAGUGAUGGCGGCAAAAGUACGGUAUAUAAUUACAGGCGCUGUGAUAUGACUGAAAUGAUAAAACAGAAGUGGGUUUUUUUCUUAAUUUCUUUGUGAUUGACGGGCUUCUUUGGCACAAGAACUAAGUGUGUGUUGUUUGGUGUUAUGUGAGAGCUUUUAUGGUUGGUUUGGAAGAGAGAGGGCUUAGAGCAGGGAAAGCUGCCAUAAUUUCCUCCAUGUUAUAAGGGACAUGGAGCAGUGACAAUUGAGACAAGGUGGUCGGAGGGGCCUCAAUACUUGCCCUUCCUAGAAUUUAAGUCUUCAAUAAAACCUUUAUUUUUAGCCCUUUG
rnacentral:lncRNA from 1 species